AAGAGAGGGAGCUCAUCCUGAAGCUGACUCCUCGAGAGGAAAGGCCAGUGUAAAGUGUAGGACGGCUCCAACCUCCAACUGGGGCUCCCUCUGGCUUCCCCUCUCAACAGUAAUUUGACACUUGAAUCUCCAGGACAACCAACAACAAAAAAGCUGAGGCUGGGACAGCAGCUGGCUGUCAGCAGCAGGAGCUGGUGCUGAGGAGAGGUACUCAAGGGAGCAAGCAGCAGUGGAAGAGGACAGCAGCUUCCACAAAGAAAGUGUGAAGUGGUGGCCAAGGGCCUGGGAAGGCACAAGAGACUGCACUAGGACAACCCUUCUUGGCCCUGCAGUACCUGUUUCCAGAGCUGGAGCUCUGGCAGGAGCACACACAGAAUGGCAGCCGAAGACUUUGUACAGGAGAUGCACUCUGUGGGCGAGAGGCUGCUGAUGAAGCUUCAAGGGCUGUCGCAGGCUGAGCCUGUGGAGCUGGUGGCCUUCUCCAUCAUCAUCCUUUUCACAGCCACUGUUCUGUUGCUGUUGCUGAUAGCCUGUAGUUGCUGCUGUGUGCACUGCUGUUGCCCUGAGCAGAGAGGCAGGAAAGUCCAAGUGCGGCCCAUGACCUCGCCAUGAGGGAUGGUGGAGAAACCAGAAGACAAGCUGGAAACCACCAGAGCCAUGACACAGGCUGUCAGCCUGAGCCUGCGCUUCUUAUUCCUGUGGAUGAGGAUACCCUAGCCUCAGCUCUGGUCCUGUCCAGGUGCCAGGACACUGGUACGUGAAGCUUUAUCAAGAAAAUAAGGGCUGGUAUAGGCCCUUCACCUGCCAGUGGACACUGAACGCUGAGGACGAGUUGACUGUUUCAGAAUCAGUAAGCCAUCUAAACUUUUUACAAAACAAGGAUGCAGGGAUCUUCAUUCUUUGAUGGGAAACAGCCCACAAUGUGGGCAGCUAAUUCUGCUAAUCCAUGCCAGAGAAGAGCAAGCCAAUCACAGAGAUUUUAUCCAGCAGUUACAGGAUUCUAUGUUCCCUGACUGGGUGAACAUGUCAGUAUUCUAGCUUAGUACUUGCCUGUUUAUUUCCAAGUAAAAGCUUUUUUCAGUUUUGUGUUUCUGAGGUUGGGCUGGGCUCUUUGCAACAGGAGGGCAGUGCCAGAAUUUUAGGGUGUGGUCAGUGACUGUUCUUUACAGGCCAUAGCUCUUCUUGUGGCCAUGAAAGUUGGAAAAUCACACAGGGAGGAAUGCCAUGCAAGCAGCAAUGCCAUGAAACCAGUGGGGGAGCACAAAACAUUCCUGUCAUGCAUAGCUGUUAACACAAACUAGCUGCUGGAUCUCCACUCUGCUGAGUGAUGGAAGCUGUUUGCCUCAGGGCAGAGGCUAAGCCCAUAACUUCUACUUGCAUACCCCAAACUAGCAGGCUCAGGCCACAGGAUCUUCCCACACUUCUGAAGCCAAAGAAGAAAGAUUAGCUCUAGAUCAUCUAUAACUUGCAUCCUGCACCUCUGGUCCAUUUGUAUGAUGACUGGGCUCACUUACACCUACCUCUGCCACUUAGCAGCUGUAUACUCAACCUUCCUGAGUUUAGGUCUUUUCCCUAGUGAAAUGGGCUAAUCCUGGUACUUGCUUCCUGGGGGUAUCUUGUGAGGAUAAACUAAGGCAACCUAUAUCUAGCAGUUAGCAUAGUUCCAGGCAUGUCCCAAGAGCUCCAUAAGGAUGAACUGUCAUUAUUUGUUCCUUUAACAAUGGAUCAACCCAGAGCACUAUGGACCCAUUUUAAAGAAUGUUUCUACUAAAAUGCAACCUCCUCUGGCCUCCCACCCUUCAGCUUUCUUUUCACGGCAGAGCUACAAACUCAAGAAAUGGAGAAGUGGAGGCACACAUAUGUGAGGUUCUAUACACACCACUGCGGCUAGGACACAGGAUUCUGUUGGGCCUUCCUUCUAACUGUUCAGAGCUAUCAUAACAGGAUCUAUAACUUUUCACAUGCUUCUGCCAGCUGCAUCUGCACAGCACAUUUUCUAGUUUUUAGAGAGCACAGCCUCAUCUACCCUGAAAACAAGACAAGGAGACAGGAUGCCAGAAUUUGCCAUCUUCAGUUGGCAAUCCAGGUCAUGCAGACAGGCACAAACAGGUUUUACUUCCUGGUGUUCAUGGACUCUCCUGACCGGUCUCAGAGAGGAAGUGUUUGGACAUAAAAAAUAAAAAAAGAAGAAACCUAAGAACUACCUGUCCUCAUUCCCAUCCAAAGAAUGGGAUCUAGAAUAAUAAAAACAACAACAAUGACAAUGACAAUAAAGACAGCUAAAAUUCACAGAGGGCCCACACAUGCCCUGGCAUUGUCUUAAGCAUUUUUUUUUCAUUUAAUCAUCACAGUACUUCACUGCUGUAGAUACUAUUAUUAUCCUCACUUAGACAAGAGGAAAUUAAAUCUUAGUGACACUAGGUGAUCUGUCCAAGUUUGGCUACCUGAAAAGUGGCAGAGCCAGUCUCUGGGUCCAGUAUUUCUGGCUCUAGAGCCCCUGCUCACCACACCCAGUGCACUAAUGCUUCCCGGGUACAGGAUAGAUAAGGUUCUGGUUCUAUUAACAGCUCUAUUAACCAACCUUACAUCCCAGCACCCACACCAAAACUGUCCCAAGUUGCCUCCAUGAGAGUGGGUGGGACGAACAUGUACAAGCUGGGGCGGUGCCCAACUAGGUGCCAGAAGAAAAACCCAGGCACAGUGGGAGGGACAGGAAGGCCUGCAUUUUUUUUUUUUUUUUUGGUCUUUUUCCUUUUUAUCGGUACCGGGGAUCGAACUCACGACUGCCUGCUUGCAAGGCAGGCGCUUAUGCCGCUGAGCUAAAUCUCCAGCCCCAGGCCUACAUUUUUCACAUGCAGCACCACUUGCUAUAGGUUGAAGUCCUCAGUUCAUGUGCUGCUCCAGCCCAGUUCCCUCCUGGCUCUUCCUCAAGCAAGGCUUCACUGGCAUCAAGAAUGGCCCUCCAGGUUGGAGAUUUAGCUCAGCAAGCAUGAGGUUGCCAGUUUGAUUCCCGAUACAAAAAAAAAUGGCCCUCUAAGACAAGCCCGGUAGGCACACCUGUGAUCACAGCACUUGGGAGGCUAAGGCAGGAGAACCAUGAGUUAAAGGCUAGCCUGGGCUACACAGCAAGACACGGUUCUCAAGACACCUAAAACUGAAAUCAAAACAAAAUAAACAACAAAAAAGGUCCUCCUUUACGGUAGCUGAGGCCAAGACUCAUUGCUAGAAAAGAUUUUAGAUUUUAGUUCCCAGUCCAGUUGUUGAGAGGUGGGUACCAUGGACAGGCCUGGGGACAGAAAGGCUAACUAAGUAGCCAGUUCAUUUGCACUUUCCUGUUCCAUGGCAGGCAGUACCUAACUGAUAGGUUCAAAGAAACUGUCCCUGCCCACAACUGACUUGCUCCUCCCUGCACUACAGGCCUCCCUCCACAUAUAUCAAGGCUACUCAGAGAAACAGAUACUCUGACCCAACAGUAGCCAGGCACAUUUCCUGGAUGUAGAGCCUCUAAUGUGGGUCUUCCCUGAGGAAGAUGGAGUAGGGAAAGAGGCAGCUAUCUCCUACUGUGGUAAAAAUAAACAGAAGGGUGCUUUGGGCCUAGGAUGCUUGAAGAUUGCUAAUGGCCAAAGAAAGAAUGGGCAGCCUAAGGCCUGGAAAAUAUCCAACCAGCUCUGGACACCAAUUCUGCACUGCCCCAUACCAUCCUAGACCAAGCCACUAGCAGUGUUUGCAAGAUACAAUGUACGCAGCCUAAGUGGUCUCCAUAGCAGUCUUACCAGCCUCCUCACACCACCUCCCCUGUGGCCUCUGCUGCACCAGUGUCUGCUCUCAGUUCCUCAAAAGGGUUGCCCUCCACACUGAAGAUCUGUUUGUUUUAAUGCCUACACAUUAUACUUAUUACAGACUACAAUAAAAC
ensembl:lincRNA